GUGGGUAUAGCUCAACUGGCAGAGCACGGGACUGUGGCUCCCGGGGUUGAGGGUUCGACCCCCUCUACUCACC
rnacentral:tRNA from 1 species